UUGGUCAUCUCCAAAUCAUAUUCAGGGACAGCCCAGCAGGUUUUCCAUUUGGUGUAUCAGGUGUCCAGGUCUCACAGUGAAUAAAAUUGCCGUGUGGUUUAAGAGAAAUGGGAAGGCACUGCCAAAUAAUCUGCACAAGGGUGCCAUUGGAGGAGGAGGAGGAGGAGGCAGUAGCCAGAGAGGCUUGCGCCUGCACGCUGCCCGCAGAACAAACAUCAAAUGUGGCAGAGGAAGGGUGCGUGGGGGGCUUCCCGCCCCUCUUUUUUUUUUGGGCUCAUCUCAGCUGGCAGCCUUAUUCCGCCUCAGUAAAGACAAGGAGACAUUAAAACAAACCGUGGUCAACAAUGAUCCCUUUCCAGCCCUUGUGGAAGAUGGGAGCACGCUAUGAAGCAGAGUACUAAAGGAUGCUCUGUGUGGUGGUUGUGUGGUCAGAUAGACUGUGAAGGGUCUGCUACAAGAAUUUCAACCUGCCUGUUAAAAAGAGAGCUGAGUUCAUCAUGGAUAGUAUCAGACAGCUUUGUGGUUUUUUUCUCUCUAUCCAUAGGCCUUUGCAUUUCUCAGCCCUGAUCUUAGGGGAGAAGAAAGCACCAAAUUCAUGCAGGGCAGAGCAGAACCCCAGCAGAAGCCCCUUUUUGCAGCACCUCAAGCCUGCCCAGUGCAAUGGUAUCCCUGAGGAGCAUCCCGCCUCAGCAUCCCACCUCAGCCAUCCAGCCCCUGGGGCAGCACAGCCUCAACUGCACUGCACCAGCGACAAGGAGAUGAAAUAUCCACGUGCCCACGCACCAGAUCCAGCAGGCCACGGGGUCUCACUUGUGAUCCCCGAGACCUCAGCAAGGAGAGUCCUCUGGGAGCCAUUUCUUCUGGAUGUAAAGUGGAGCAGGCUGCCUCUGGCUGGCUGACUGACGGCUGAGAGGCUUUUAAUGAGCACCUCUCCUCCCUGGCAGCUCUGCUGAACGAGACCUCAGCUGUGAGAGAGAGCAACAGUGCUGGGCUGAAUUACCUUGAAUUAUUCUUUGCCUUUCUGAAAAGGUAUGACUGCUAUUUAGAAAGGUUCAUAAACCAACAGUGCACCCAGCAUAUGAAAGACGGAGAAAAAAAAUUGCUGCAUGAACCUAUAUUUUAAAAUAAAUUUCAUUUAUCCCAAUUGACCCUUUCCUGAACCACUAAUAGAGCAAACCUUCAUGAUAAAAGCUGAGGAGGGAUGGGAAGAAACCAAGGCCCUGUGGAUAAUUCAGGAAUGAUAGGCCAUGCAUGGAAAAUGGUACUGAAAAAUGCAUGAGAACCAUUUUGUUAAAAAAAAUGAACUGUGGAAUGGUGGCUUGCUUGGAAGAAUCAAAACCAAUAAAUAGAAAGAUGCAAAACUGGGAAGAACCUGAAACUGAGAGCAGAAAGCUCUCAAAAACCUGACUGAAUUGGAAGAGGCCCUGGAAUUUUGCAGAGAGGGGAAAAGGAGCUGUGGGGACAUAGCUGAAAAAGAUUCUGUGUGAGACACACGGCCAAGGUCGGAGCACAGGAGGAGGCUGUAAACACGAUCACGAGCAAAGAUUUUUACUCUGGAAAAAAAAGAAAAAAAAGUUAGGUCUGAAAAAGCCAAAGCUAGAGGGAGUGCCACAUCCAGCUCCUCUUCCUUGUGCUGCCUGGCCCUGAACUGCCGCAGAGGGGAACGGCGACUGGAAGCCAGUGUGACAGCUGGGGGAAUGAAGAUGUACCAGCAGAACACAGCCUGCCCAAGAUGAGUGUGACAUUGGUUUUGUGAGACUGUCACACUCAGACUGGUGUCCAGGAGCUGGAGAUUAUUGUAACAAUGACAUGGCAGCAGAUUGGAUUUCCUCAAUGGCAAAGGCAAGCAGGAGAGACCAGGGAUGAGUGUCAGCUGGAGCAAGCAGCAAUGCUCACUGGUAUAAGAAAUACCAGCCUUCACCUUGCUCCUUGUUUUAUUUCUAACCACAAAAAGUACAUCACUUACUAUACACAGGGUGACCAAAUAAAAACAGAAGCUACACUUGAAAUUCAAAGAAGACAAUUCUCUUUUUCAUGAGAAAACCAUUUCAUUUGCAGCUACAUCUAUAAAGCAAGAUUGAGGAUGUUAUUAGACAUCAGACACUGCCCAUUUGGUGAAGUGUUUCCUGAGCCU